CUGUUAUAACAAAAUCCCUCCCUUUACAUCUUCUCUCAGGUUUCAAUUUUCUUCCCCAUCCUUCUUCUCUAACGACUAACUCUCUCUCUUUACUUUCUCUCCCUCUCUCCCCUUCUCUCCCCUUCUCUCUUGCUCUCUUGUCUUCUUAGUCUUCCUCUGAAUCUUCACUCUUCCUAUCUCUCAAUUUCCACUUCUCUAAAAUGAAGCGCAGUCAAGAAACCCUAUCUUGCGAGUUGGGAGAUACUCAUCUCACCGAUCCACCACCUUCUUCUUCUCCUAGCCCUAACGGCGCCGGAAUCAAGGGCGGCAGACCCCCUCGAAAACCCAAGUCGUCUUUCGAAAGAAAAUGCUCCACGGUCAGAUCCCAACUCCAUGGUUCCCGAUUCCAAACCCUCGUCGGCUAAGUUGAAGGAGCCCAAUUCCGCCUAGGCCUCCCUCUUCUAACCCACUUAAGCGGAAGCUUAUCAUGGAGACCGUUAUUGAGAAUUCCAUCCCUAGGUUGUUUGAUUCUGGUGGGAAGGUGGUAGUGCACUUGAGGUCACUGUUCAAGGACGAAGAUGAAGGGGAUAAUAUAAUACAGAAUGUUAUCGGUGAUCCUUUGUCAAUUAAUGGGCAGACACUUUUGAUGCUGUUGCUGACACAGAGGCAACACAUGCUUGAUCUCUAAUGAAACUCUGUUGUAGUUCUUUGAUGACAUCGGAUGAUAUGGGAGGGCGAAUGUUUACCUGUUGUCUAUUCUGUUUGCUGCUUGAUAUCUUCCAACUUGUAGCAGGCGUUUACUUUUGAUGUUGUUGCUGACACAGAGGCAACACAAGCAUGAUCUCUAGUGAACUCUAUUGUAGCUCUUUGAUGGACAUCGGAUGAUAUGGGAGGGUGAAUGUUUAACUUUUGUCUAUUAUGUUUUCAGCUUGAUAUCUUCCAGCUUGUAGGAGAGCCUUUUGUUGAAAAUUGUAUGGCAGGUUUCAACAGUUCUGUAUUUGCAUAUGGGCAAGAUCCAAUUAAUGAUAGCUAGAGCGACUCAAAUACGGAAGAUCAAGGGAGUUUUGAGGAAGCAUUCAUAAAGCAGUUUUAGAAUUUAGUCACCCCACUAGUAGUUAUUGGUCUUCUGUUUUCCAGCUUUUCUUUUGGCCCUCGUGAACAAGUAUUACUUAUUGUGGAGGGUAGUUUUCACUAUAACCUCUUAUUGGCUUCAUUGUCAUGGUGUUGUUUUUUUAGAAAAAACUGAAGCAUUCUCUUAUUUCAAUUUACAUGUGCACCCCAUGUGAAAAGAUGACUAAAAAUUUCUUACACGUUAUAAGGUUUUUUAAACCCUUCAUGUCACAAGGUUUAUGAAUGCUAAGGAAAUGUUAUUUAUUUA